ensembl:lncRNA
GCCUAUAUUUAGCAAAACAAAAGAAAACGUGUAGGUCAGCUCAAAUGCAGGAAGUAAAAGGGCACCAUUCAAAGGCAGCUACAAGAAAGAGUUCCCACUGCGACGGGCAGCCAGCUUCAAGAAGUGGUGGAGCAGAAACCGAAGUCUAACUGAGCUAAUGUCUUGUUUGAGCUGAUGGAGGUUGGUGGCACAGAGAACACGUCGUGGCAGCACAGUUUGCAGAAAGCCCAGGGUAUAUACCAGUGCAGAGGCACCAGAUCAUGUGAGAUGUUAUUCCAGGACUUUUUUGCCUUCAUUAGUUUUCAACAGUUGGUGCCUGGCCACCGCUGGAGCUGAGACGCCAGGUGGGUCGGCUACAGGAUUACAUACUGCCUUACAGUAUGGCAAGGUCUUGAACUCACCCAGAUCAAAGGACUUCUAAUGACUGCUGCUUCUUAAGUGUUUAGAGGAUGGCCUGACCAAGGAGAUGGUGGAGUCCCUGUCCCUGGCAGUGUUCAAGAGGCAUCUGGAUGAGGAGCUAUGAGAUAUGGUUUAGUAGCUUGUGGUAGCAACGGUGAUGGGAGGAUGGUUGGACUAGAGGAUCUUGUAGGUCCUUUCCAACCUUGUGAUUCUAUGAUACGUAAAGAAAGAAAUGUUACCUGUUGAAUACAUUGGCUGUAGUAGUGCAUGAAAAAAAAAAAAAUAAAUAAUAAAAUAAAAUAAAAACCCACAACAACAACAACAAAAUACAAGACACAACAGAAAUAGAUCUAAGUCCGUUGUCAUGACACAUCUCAAGAAGAAUCUCCACUACAGUGAGAUCCACUCUGACAAAGGUCAUGUGCCCAAACUGCUCCUUCAGCUGGCACAUUUGAGAACACCAUUCAAUUGGAAAGUUACAAAACUGAAGGACCUCUAUGCACCACUCCACCAGCUACAAAUGCAACGCCACAUCUGCAGAAGAUUGCUUCUAAUUAAUGCAUAUUAAUAACAUUGUCACAUUUAGCCACAUGGAUUCAAGAUAGCAUCCCCAUUCAGAUGUUUCACAUUUUGUUGUUAAAGUUAGGCACGUGUUCUUUUCUUUUGAACCAUGUCCAAAACACUGCUGUAGAAGUGGAUAAGCUGGGUCUGAUCGGGAGCCCACAAGUCAUGACUUCCAGCAGACAGGAACUCAGACCUUAUUGUCAUUUGAAAUAUCAGAUGAAAGCCUGAUAUUUUAUAUGGAUUUGUAGUAAUCAACACUAUGUGAGGAAUAACAGUCAAGGAGCCCAGAGUUUGGUUUAUGCCAUCAGCAACAAAUGUCCUGCCCCAGCACCAUUUCAGGAUUGCAGUCCAGAACAAUUGGGAGCAACAAGUGACCUCUGAGAGGAGUAUAUCUGCAAGGACUCUUCUCCUCCUAAUAUUCCCUACAAAUGACUGUUCAGUCCUGCCUAGCUGGUACCUAAUUGGAUAUUUGCAGCUAAUGAGUAUUUUUCUUGCUGACAUUACACUUCUCCACCUCUCGCUAAAACUAUAACCUUCAUAAUCUUCAGCUGAAGCCUCUGAGGUGAAGGGCACGCAAGCUGAGGAUCAGCUUAGUGUUCCCCUGAAGGAAGCUCUCAUUAGCAUUGCGCCAAGAACAGCAAGCUAAUCACAGAGCCAUUAAUAUCUCUGAAAGCCCCCUGCCAAUUAAUUUCAUGGAAAGAGACGUAUCUUGUGUGCUAACUAAAUACACCAGCUGAAAAUAUCAGGCCCUUCUGAGAGACGACAUCAAAGGGUGCUUUUCAACUGCCAAUUGUUUUCAAUGCUCAACUUGAAACAAGUGACAGAGCAGUAGGUUUUGUACAACAGGCUUCAUGGUUGCCAUGAAAACCAAAAGUUUCAGGAAUCGUAGCUAUCAUUAAGAUCCUCACCGGCACUCGGAAUCUCAAUAGUCGCAGGGCACAAAACAGGAACCCCAGUGGGACCAUCUACCCAGCAAUGUCAGUGUAGCUGUGUAGGAGGACGGUAUUUUGAGUGGAGUUCACAGUAAAUCUCAGAGCCUAAUAAGCCAUAAAAAAUGUGUAUCAUCUGUCCUUCAUUGUUAAGACUAAUAUCGUCUGAUGAUCAUUCCUAAAAUGGGUUAUGAAUUCUGGAAUUUAAAAAAGAUUGUGAAAAGCAAUAAAACAACAAAAUACUCCAGAGCAAGCAUAUCAAAUUAAUGUCUGAUAAUUUCUCCCUGGUGCAGCUACGAGAUUUUAUUUUUAAGUUGCAGUUUUAAAAUGUCUACUGCAAAGAAUAAAAGCAGUCAGGAUAUGAUAAUAUCAAGCAGCCUACUAACUGCAAAAAAAAAAAAAAAAAAAAAAAAAUCCCAGUCUAGAUUUGGAAAGACAAAAAAAAAAUGUUAUUUUCAGACCAGGAUGCCUUUUUAAACGAUAAGAUGAAGAGAAAAAAAAAAUAGGAUCUACAGUAGGAGCAGUGCUGAACUGAGCACCGCUCAGAUACCACCUCAGAUAUCCUUCUGGCAACCCUGAAAUCCAUCCCCAUUCUUUAAUGGCCUGUGCAGUGUGACACUAAAUGUGUUACCAUAUGUAAACGAUGGCAUCUGGCUUUGAUACGGAGAGAAAUGAGAAAUACAUGUUUCUGAGCUUCAAAUGUUUCUACUGUAUUGGAAGGUAGAUAGUACCAUUUCUUGGCUACAAAGGGAUAUAAUUUUCAAUGGAUAUGAAUUCUUAUUUUCUCUAUAAGUAAACAAUAUUUCUUAUCUGUACUGGUUUUCCUUUGGCAAGGCAUCAAGAGAGAGCCCUCAAAGCUUGAAUUUCAUAAUUCUAAGGGCACUGUAAAUAAAUUUUUAAACAAGUCUGUGGAGUCUGAG